AGAAGCUUCAGCUUGAAGCUGUCAUCGGCCCUCUGUAUCUGUCUGCCUCCCUUUAUCACUUCCCCCCUCAUUUCUCCACCUCUUCUUAUUUAUCUCCCUCCCUCCCUCUCUCUGUCCCUGACUGUGAUGUGGAUGCAGCGUGUGAGCAGCAGCCAGUGAGCGUGCCUACGUUAGCAGUGUGUGCUGUUGGAAUCCAUGCAGCGGCUGACUGUACUGCCUCUUAAAUAGGAGCAAACAGACUCAUCGCUCGUGACUCUGACACCACUGAGACCAACGCUCCCUCUCCCGGACUGACGGGCCAAUCGCAGGACACCCCUCACUCUCUGUCUCUCUCUCUCUCUCUCCCUCUGAUUCUCUCUCUCGCAUUCAUUCCUUUGCUCUCUAUCUCUCUCUCUGUCUGUAGCUAAGUCUCUCUACCACACCUCGUCCAGAGCAGAGGAACAGAAAGCCCCCUGCCCAGCCCAGGGAUAGCCAGACCGCUGAGAGGAUGAAACUCUGACAAGCCGACAGACCGCAGGGAAACGAGCACAACUGCCCACAGAUAAUUGGUUGAAGAGAGAGUCCAGGAAGGUCAGCCAAGAAAGCAGCCGUAGGUGCCAGCGUGAAAUCUACAGGAACUACAAUUACUUCAACAGUGAGCCGCUGGAACAAGGUGAAUGACAGAUGCAUCCUGUCGGGCUGUAUCACCGCCUGGUAUGGCAACUUCACCGCACUCAACCGCAAGGCUCUCCAGAGGGUCGUGCGGUCUGCACAACGCAUCACCGGGGCAAACUACCUGCCCUCCAGGACACCUACAGCACCCGAUGUCAUUGGAAGGUCAAAAAGAUCAUCAAGGACAACAACCACCCGAGCCACUGCCUGUUUACCCCACUAUCAUCCAGAAGUUGAGGUCAGUACAGGUGCAUCAAAGCUGGGACCGAGAGACUGAAAAACAGCUUCUAUCUCAAGGCCAUCAGACUGUUAAACAGCCAUCACUAACAUAGAGAGGCUGCUGCCAACAUACAGACUCAAAUCUCUGGCCACUUUAAUAAAUGGACUUAACAAAGGUAUCAGUAAAUAAUGCCACUUUAAUAAUGUUUACAUAUUAUAUUACUCAACUCCGAUGUAUAUACUGUAUUCUAUACCAUCAACUGCAUCUUGCCUAUGCCGCACGGCCAUUGCUCAUCCAUAUAUUUAUAGGGUCAACAGCCCUGCACCCCACACAGCAACUAGUCCAAACCUACCCCAUUUCUC
rnacentral:lncRNA from 1 species